rnacentral:snRNA from 1 species
AUUGCUUCUAGACGUUUUGGUGAAGAUCAAGUGUAGUAUCUGUUCUUAGAAGUUUAAUAACUGCUGUGCCUUCUCUCAGAGGACUAGAUAUUAAAUGGACAUUUUAGAGGAGAGAGAGAAAAUAGGCUUGCUCCAUCCAUUCCACGCACUGACCUGAUACUGCAAGAAGAAAAUUCAUGGCAACAUCUCUGGGGUGGCUCAGGUGUUUUGCUUAUUGG